rnacentral:rRNA from 1 species
ACGGAAGGCAGCAGUGGGGAAUAUUGCACAAUGGAGGAAACUCUGAUGCAGCGACACCGCGUGAGUGAAGAAGUAUUUCGGUAUGUAAAGCUCUAUCAGCAGGAAAGAAAAUGACGGUACCUGACUAAGAAGCCCCGGCUAACUACGUGCCAGCAGCCGCGGUAAUACGUAGGGGGCAAGCGUUAUCCGGAUUUACUGGGUGUAAAGGGAGCGUAGACGGUUUUGCAAGUCUGAAGUGAAAACCCGUGGCUCAACCACGGGAUUGCUUUGGAAACUGUAGAACUAGAGUGCAGGAGAGGUAAGUGGAAUUCCUAGUGUAGCGGUGAAAUGCGUAGAUAUUAGGAGGAACACCAGUGGCGAAGGCGGCUUACUGGACUGUAACUGACGUUGAGGCUCGAAAGCGUGGGGAGCAAACAGGAUUAGAUACCCUGGUA